UGAACUGGAACAUGCAACAAGAAAAAAAAAAUAGUGAACACAUACAAAAUAUAGCUAAAAUGCUAAUUGCUAGUAAAGCCAAAAGCUACAAAUUGGGUUCCAAUUUACCUGCCUGUUAUGGAUUGAAUUGUGUCCCCCACCCCGCCCCACAAAAUGUGUGGGAAUCCUAACCCCUGUACCUCUGGAUGUAACCCCAUUUGGGAAUAGGGUUCUCUGUGUUAUAUGAAUGAGGCCACAUCAGUUGUAGGGUGUGCCCUAAAUCUCAUCACUCCUGAGGUAUAAAAAGAGCAGAUCAAACACAGAACCAAGUACAAACGGAAGAAGACUGAUGCCACGUGAGGGUGACCAAGAACCAAGGAAGGCCCUGGGCUACAGACAAGGAAGGAAUCGACAGAGACUCUGAUUUGGACUAGCCUCCAGAACUUUAAGAAAACAAAUUACUGUUCUUUAAAGCUACCCACUUGUGGUAUUUGUGUUACAGCAACACUCACAAACUGAGACACUAUACUCAAGCAUUUUGAGUUCAAUGUGACAUGACUCAGCAUGAAAACUGAAUACCUUCAUGAACCACAUUGCCUCCCUCCCUCUCCAUUCCCAGAUACUCACUGAGAAAGUGAAAGGUGGGAAGCUACAUUUAACCAUGAUUUCUCUUAAAGGUCCCAGAGAAUUAAUCAUAUACUGUCAUAAAACAGGAAGUACAAGGGAUCGUAUUUUUUUUAUGUUUACUACUACAACCUAAGUAUCUGUGAGGAACACUCAAUCACAGAGUUUAGAAAAAACUUAUAAUAAAUACAAAAGAAAUACAAUUGGGGUAACAGCCAUAUCCCUGGACUGCGAAAUUAUGUGAAUAGUUAAACAUUGCAUUUUCCUUUACCGGGCACUUUUCUCAGUGAAAUGUUCACCAACAUUAACAAUUUCAAAGCAAUUGACUUUGCAGCUUGUUAAACUUUAGCAAUGUUUUUACUGGGGUAGAAAGUCGACGCCAGUGGCCAAAAUUAACAUGCAGGAAUGAGCCUCCCAUGUUCAAUCACCUCUGUGUUCUCGGGGAAUUUAGAAUUGGCUUCUUCCUCAAUGAUUGCCAAUGUAAGAAACACACUCUGUGGGGUUGCUCUCUUUAAACAUUUCUUAGCUGUUUAAAAUUUUCCUCUGUGUCACCAGUCAAUUUCAGAUUGCCAGCUAUCUGCAAAAUGGAAAUUCACAGUAUGACUUUUGCUUCUCACUCAGUAAGCAAAAUUAACACUUUUAUGCUUCCUUCCUAGAAAAGUGGCAAAGGAGGACAAAAGCCACAGGAGAGAGACUUUCCCCAAAACAUCCACUACCUUGCAGCAUCACUGCUUUGCAACUUAAUGUUACAUUUGACCUCACAUUUUUAUUGGCCGUCAACCUGGAGGAUGCCUGCAGACUGUUCAGCAGCAUAAAUCAAGCUGCUUCCUUUUCAGGGUUAUGGGUGGAAGCCACAAGGCAACAGCUCAUAGAGGAAUACAAAAGCAGUUAAACAGUCUUCCAUGCUCUUCAAAGACUCAGACUAUACCUUGGGCCUCUCCAAAAUUUAAGAAUAACACCUCCUCAGGGGUUCAUGUCAAUAAAACAGCCAAACCAACCUGCUGCUUUUCCACACCCCAGGCUCCAAAUCUUCAUCCUGUCACAGUAGUAAAGGAGCACCAGACUCAAAGCACAGUUAGCAUCUCUGAGGAGCAGCAGUCCUCGAGUUCAAUCUUCCCCAUUUGAACUCCAGCAUCACCAACAAAAGGGCCUAGACACAGCAAUCAGUCUGGUGCCCAUCCACAGCCUUGGGCAGCCCCUUCGUAACUUCUGAGGCCCUUCCACAGACCCAGGACAUUUUGUGAAGCAUGAGACGAUAUACAAAUAUCUAUUUUCCUAAGAGCUAUCUGGGAUGCUCACUUGCCCUGCAUGACACCUAACUGACAUGAAACUUAGGACUUCAGGAGACUCAGGGCUUCUCUCAUGAACUGUGGUCAGGACGGAUGUGUUCACGGGCAUCUGCUUCCUCUCCUCCAAGUGAAUGGCAACAGCACAAAGAAUCCACACGUUCUGUGCUUAAAGAGCACCACGAAGCCUGACCUCCUCAGGAAAGGCAAGCAGCCCAAUCAUACGUCUGAGAAGCUCAGUCUUGGCCUCAGAGGUCAUGGACUGGUUUAGUCUUCAGCUUAAAAAUAAUCAACCAAGAACCGACAUAAAUAUGCUCAACCAAAAGCAGGAGUUGGCAAACUCCUUCUGUAAAGGGCCAGAUGGCAAAUAUUUUCGAUUUGUAGGCCACAUAGUCCCUGUGGCAACCACUCAACUCUGCCACUAUAAGGUGAACACCAAACCAAAAACCCAAACCCACUGCCGCAGAGUUCAUUCUGACCCAUAGUGACCUUAUGGGACAGAGAAGAACUAUCCCAUAGGACUUCCAACGAGUGGCAGGUAGAUUCGAACUGCUGACCUUUUGGUUAGCAGCCAAGCUCUUAACCACUAUGCCACCAGGGUUCCAAGGUGAACACAGCCACAGAUAACACUUAAAGGAACGAGUGGGGCUGUGUCCCAAUAAACUUUAUUUACAAAAACGGGCAGCAGGUAGGAUGUGGCCCCUUGGCCACAGUUUGCCAACUCCUGUUCAAGAGCAUAAAAAACAAAGACGCAUACUUUUAUUUUUGUGUUUAAAUAAGUUCCUAGAAUACACAGACCUGUUCUAGAAAGGGAGGUUGUUUCCCCAGUUAUUGAUAACAGGCAGAGACUUUAAAAGCAAGAAAAGGACACAAAACAUUGAGUAGGAAUUAGAUACUAAUUACGACUUGGAUUCAAGAUGAAAGAAAUACAAAAACACGAGCUAUGUGCAAAUUUAUCAAGUUGUUAGAAUCUUUGGGAUUAUUUGUAUUAAUUACUGCUUUAUUGCCACUAAAGGAAAUUAAAAUUAAUGCUUUUUAAGAAAAAUAUUAAAUUUAAUUAUGGAGCUAUUACUAUCCCGCUAAGGUUCCUUCUUAACCAUCUUUCUUGCUGGGGAUUGUAUUAGCCAUGAUCGUAUCCAGGCUACCUGUUCAAAGAUAGGUUUUCUCAGCAGCAAGAUGCAAUGAACCAGCACACAAUUAAGCCACCUGGCUUCCUGGAGGAGGACUCCUCAAGAGCUUUCAUAAUUAGCUGUGCUUCUGGUGACGACAUGGGGGGUGGGCAAGGAGAUGCAGAGAUGGUCUGUUGUAUAACCAAGUGGAAAAGUGGGGUCAUUUUUUGUUUCAGUAACAACAACAACAACAAAAUCUGGCUGGACUCUGGCUAAACAACCUCAGGCCCAGUGCUGGCUGUUGUCUUGAAUAUGGAUGAACUGCCCAAGACCAAAGCUUCCAUUUUUACUCUAGAGAAAGGAGUGUGGAGGCCUAUAGAAGCUGGUGAAUCUCUGAACUCCUAAUGCAUGCCUAUCGAACUUAGGUCAUACUUGGAGACAGGUCAUUUGGAAAAUGAGCUUAAUACUUCCUCGGCUCACUCCAUUUGUAAGUACAAACCACCAAAUCACCUUUAGAAGCUGGGUAACUAGAAUGAGAAGCCCUCUACACACCAAGACUCUUUGAUAUCCUCCCACUGGGGUGGCUGUGUUACAGAGGAACUAAAUCUUCACCCUGAACUUGUCUUAAGAACAAGAGAGGCACCCACAAUGGUAGUCCCAUACUGUUAUGGAUUGAAUUGUGUCCCCCCAAAAAUAUGUGUUGUAAAUUCUAACCCCUAUACUUGUAGAUGCAAUCCAUUUGGGAACAGGGUUUUCUUUGUUAUGUUAAUGAGGCCAUUUCAGUGUAGGGUGUGUUUUAAGCCAAUCACUUUUGAGAUAUAAAGAGCAGAUCAUGCUCAGAGAAACAGGAAGCACAGACGGGGAAAAGAGAUGUUAGGCCACAUGAAGAUGGCCAAGAAACCCAGGAACAGAAGCUAAAAAGAGACAAGGGCCUUCCCACAGAGAUGGCAGCGGGUCUUCCCCUUGAGUCAGUGCCCUAAAUUCCGACUUUCAGUCUCCUAAACUGUGAGAAAAUAAAUUUCUGUUUGUUAAAGCCACCUACUCGUGGUAUUUCUGUUACAGCAGCACUAAGAAACUAAGACACGUACCUUCAAU